AAGUUGUCUCAAAUGAUUUCAGCUUUCACAAGUUUGCAAGUACAAUUCCUCUUUCUCGGUUCUCGCUCUCUAGAAAGCGAAACAGAGCGGAAAAGGCAGAUGUGAGGAAGAAGAUGAGCUUCGAGAAGGCACAAAACCCAGCUUUGGGCUUUAACUUAGAAACAUGGAAUUUCUAUCAACUGGCUAAUUCAAGUGAGUAGUAGUUCACUGUAAGUUCAACUUGAUUUUGCUUUCUCAAUUCUUCUUCCUCUCUUUACCUUGUUCGUUCGUUGCUUAUAUGGUUAUUGGUGCACUUUUCAAAUUUGAUCUGAUGCCUGAGACUCUCUACCUAGCAGUGAACUUGUUAGAUUGCUAAUAGAAAGGAAAUGUGUAGUUGAUCGGUCUCACUGCAUUUUUGCUCGCACCUAAGUAGGAGGACUAUUGGCAUCACAGGGUAGAGAUAUUAUGAUUUAUACACAUGUACUGUUUUUCAAACUAGUACAAUCAGUAUCUUCUCUCUAUCCGUUCAGAUCACAGAUUUCAUUAGCAUCUCAAACUUGUUUUGAGAUUGUUUGGUCAUGAGCUUUUGCUUACCUGAAUCUUACAGGGGAGCGUAGCCAAAAUGAUUAACUUUUUCUUUGCAUCCCUCCGUACAAAAGGUAAAAAUCUCUGGCUUAUGAUUCCUUUUAUGUGUGUGCUUAUCUGUAAAUGAUCUACUUAUUCUAGAUUUAGUGUUUUACUUCAUAUGGGUGACUUCAAAUCUGCAUCAACACUCUUGUUCAUCACCCACACUGAAUAUAUAGAAAUAUGGCUUCUUUGGAUUACGCCAAGUUGUCCUACUUAGAUAUUCCCUUUGAGAUUAAGAGAGAAUUGAACCUAGUAUAUUAUGAUGGCAUGGCAUACAUUGUGUCUGGUUUCAAGGGAUAUAAUUUCGCUUGAUCGUAAAGACAAAUCAUCAAUGUGUUUUACAUAACAAAACAACUGUAAGGAAUUCUGUUUACAUUCAAUAGGCAAGUUGUACAAGCUCAUGAGUAUUCUUGGUUCCCUACCCUCUUUGAUAUCUAAGUCAACCACAUCUACUCAUAUGCAUAUGCCUGCACACAUAGAUAUAUGUAUUGUAUCUUCAAUGUAACAGUAUAUAUAUAUACACCUGAGUGUGACCUAAUGGCAUUAUGAGCAUGGGACGAAAUGGUCUUGCACAAGCAUUUGCUCUUCUUGCUUGUCUAGUGUCCUUUGCACUGCUUUGUAGAACUCAAUCCAAGAAGAUGAGUAUGAAUCCAUGGCGCCAAACAUGAAAGUUGGAUUGGGACUUGCAGGGCAAGCGGUGACCAUAUCCAAAACAGAAGUGGCAGGUUUGAGCUGGUGAGGGAAGUUGAAGGCCAAGUUAUCGACCUUAUGCUCAUAGAUUUUGCCAUUUCGGUCGAGUUUAUAGCGAGAAGUACCCUGAAACUCUCCCUUUGCCUCCCAUGGGACUCUAGGUACACCUUUAAGAUUCCACCUGAUGAGAAUCAUGUUCUCUGAUGGUUGCCAAACCCUGAAGAUCUCAAGUGAGAUAUCCCUGAAGAGAAUCUUGCCAUGAAAUCUAAGUGCCCAGAAGAUCAAUUUGUAGUUGUCAAUCCCAGAGAACGUGUUCAUUGGAUCCACUAAUGUUAUAUCAUCCCUGAAAGAGGAAACACAAAUGCUUUCAUUGACAGGUUUAAGGAAGGAAUCACCUAAAGGAGAAAGAGGAAAACACACCUGUAAAUGUCGUAAUUGAGAUCUUUGGUGAAGAGGAGAGGCAAAUCUUCGCGAAGGGUACGUACAGCUAAACCGAGAUUGAUGUAGAAGUCAUCUUUGCUGCCGUGCUGGUACUUAUCCUGCGCACUUGGUUUGGUCUUAACCUGCGCACCUCGAACAGGAGGAGGAGCCUGGACGCUAAAGAGAGAAAGUGGAGAGAGACUAUCUUCUUCAAACUCGUAGCUAUUGGACGAUGAUGAUGAUGAUGAUAAAGCUUGGUUGGAAAUGGGUUUCUCUUUGAGUGAUUUUCCGGUCGGAAGAAGGAAAGAAGGAGAGAGAUUGGGGAGAAGAAACGCCAUAGCUGCUGGAUUUUAGAGCUUCUCUUGUUCUUUUGUUGUUGUUUUGUCUUAAUUUUUCAAGGCGACUUAAGAGAAUCAGAGGGAGAGGAUGACGAGUUGAGAAGAGCGAAGAUGCACGAAGAAGCUUUGUUGGAAGAUAAACAGCUGCUCGUUUUUUGAGUGGUAAUCAAACCUUCGCGUUGUAUUUUUUCUUUUCUUU
rnacentral:lncRNA from 1 species